UACCGGUUCUUAAAUCGAGUCCUCAAAUCGCAUCCCUCCGGCGCCGUCGACGGCGAACUCACUCGCCUGCCUGCCUCCCCGCGUGUCCCCGUCGCCGUUGAGGCCAGGAUCGACGCAGGGCUCAACCGCCCAGCCGGUUGCCGUCCUCUCGCGGGUUGUGCGUGUGCGUCGCGCGACCCUUGGGUCCUCGUGGUGGCCGUCGGGUUCCCCUCGGCCUGAGCAUGCGUGUGCGGGGCAUCCUGCUGGCUCUGCUCCUGUCCUCCCGUCCUGCUUUCUAGGGCGCGCCCUUGGCGACCCUCCGACCGGUGGAGCUCGGUCUAUCCACCGCGAGCACAUCCUGUUCGACGAAAUGCCUAGCUAGCAAGCAUUUCUCCGAGCGCAAACUUGCUUGAACUAGUCGGCAUUGCUCCUUUACAGUACAGAACCUUUUUUUGCUUCUCAACGGAGUGCUCUAAGCAACGAUUAGGUUGCUAACUGAUACACAAGUGAGAUGGCAUCUAAGAUAUUUGGUCCAAGAAAUCUGCAUGUGUUUUCCCCAAGGUGGCACAUGUUGGAUGAAGCGUUUUGUUAUGGCCCGUUUAAUCGUAGUAUUCAAAGAAGGUGGAAGAAGCCGGUGGAUUCGGCGCGGACUCGUCUGGAGGGAAGAACAAGGGACCACAGGCUUGACAAGCUGAUGAUUCAGCUCAGGAACUUGAGGCUGGCUUUGGAUUUACAUGAGGUGAUAUCUCAGCAGAGGAACCACUACGCGUCAUUCCAACUCCUCUUGAGGUGGAGACAUGAGAUUGGGCUGAACAUUGAGAUUGGCUCUUUCCUCAAGAAAUAUCCCCACAUUUUCGAGAUUUAUGUGCACCCUGUCAAAAGGAAUCAUUGCUGUAGGAUCACCCAGAAGAUGGCUGAUUUGGUUGCAGAAGAAGAUGCUGUCAUCAGGGAAAAUGAGCCUGGCGUUGCUGAGCGGCUCAAGAAACUUCUCAUGAUGUCUAUGAACGGAACUUUGAAUAUGCAUGCCUUGUGGCUCAUAAGGAAGGAACUUGGUCUGCCUGAUGACUACAGGUCUUCUAUGCUGCCGAACCAUCAAUCUGAUUUUUCUCUUGAAACCCCUGAUACUCUGACGUUGAUCUCGAGGGAUGAGAAUCUUGCGGUAGCUAAUGUUGAAGAAUGGAGGGAGAAGGAGUACACAGAAAAAUGGUUGGCAGAAUAUGAGACGAAGUAUGCUUUUCCAAUAAACUUUCCUACUGGCUUCAAGAUUGAGAAAGGUUUUAGGGAAAAGCUUAAGAAUUGGCAAAGGCUCCCCUAUACCAAACCUUAUGAGAAGACUGAUUUGCAUCCUAUCAGCAACGUCGAGCGGCUUGAGAAACGUAUUGUCGGUAUUCUUCAUGAACUUUUAAGCUCGACGGUAGAAAAGAAGAUACCACUUGAGAGGUUGUCACACUUCAGGAGACCUUUUUCUAUCGAAGUAAACUUGCGGGAACUUCUUCUUAAGCACCCUGGCAUUUUCUACAUCUCGACCAAAGGAAGCACACAAACAGUGAUCCUUAGGGAUAGUUACAAUAAAGGAUGUCUGGUUGAGCCUAACCCCGUUUAUAGUGUGCGAAGGAAAAUGCUAGACCUUAUUUUGUCUGGAUGUCGUAACAUUGGUGAAACUGAGAAGGCAAUUUGUCUUGCCGAGGAGCAUAACCAAGGAAGCAGUCAUGGGUCACAGAAUCACACAUUCCAGGUAGAUGACAUGAAUUCCAAGUUGCAAUUUGAAAGUGACUUCUGUGGAGAGAGUCAUUUUCAUGAGGAGUCUUUCAGUGACUAGCGAAUUAAAGAUUGAAUGACACAAUGCAAUAACAGGAGAACUUAAGCGUUUAGCAGACAAAAAAGCAGAGCUGUUGGUGUUCUCUGAAGCACAAAUAGUAAAACAGGAGAUACUAAAUUUGAUAUUGAGGAAACUCCAUCAGAUGCUGUGGAUGUUUGCUUCUCUUGCCGUCCUAGCAGCAGGUUCUGCUGAAGCUCAGGUUAACUAGACCUGGUGCCGCUGUGCACCGCAGCAUCUCUUGUGUCUUAACAGUCUUCCGCUGCUCUUGGACAAGAGGAGAUGGCUGAAAAUACUAGCAGGCAGAAUAUACAUUACUCCACCUUCAGCACUUCGUCAUCCUGCUGUUAAUACCUUCUGCAAAACUUGUAUGCUCUUGAUACUCAGCAUUCAUGGAUUCGCUUAUUUAUAAUUGAAUAUUGCAAGUGCUGUGGCUGACCUUGGUGUAUCAUGUGACUGUGAGACGAACAACAUAUAUUGCAUCUGACCAUCUGUGGACCACUAAUCACUAGGGUUUCUGAACAUGCUAGACUAGGAUAUGCUGUCAUUAAAUUUUGGAUGUGCUGUUAGGCAGGUUUUGUUGUUGCUGAUAUUUAUGGAUUAUAUAUGCAACGUACUACCCUUUGC